ACCCAGCUGACGCGUCCCAAGUAGGACGAAACGCGCGUCCUGGAU
rfam:Schistosoma haematobium scaffold891_45, whole genome shotgun sequence.